GCCUUGCUAUAAAAUCUCAGUGACUCUGCGAACACCACCGUGAAACUUUGAAAACUUCAAUUGUUAAAAAUUCAGAGAACGUUUCGAUAAAAAAAAAAAAAAAAAUUUCCAAGUCCCUGAAAAUUUAUACAAAAGAAAGUCAAAAGGAAUUUAAGUUUCAAUGCGUGAAAUUAAAUUAGGUAUCCAAAAAUGGAUCUUUAAAAAGAAACUGGUGUGAAGUUUGUUAGUUUUAAGUGAACAUUGACGAUUUUUUUUACGAACUGUCAACGGAAGACAAUGAAAUGCUGCUUGCAUAAAAACUUUCAGUGAUUAUAUUUUUCUGUGACGGUCGAUCAUCUGCUUCACGAACUUUACAUCUCUCGGAAGGUUGAAAAUCAACUAAUAACAGAGGGUUGUUUUCUCGAUUGAAACUUGCCCAAGUCGUGGGCGGUGACGCAUAACUGGUCAUGAUUUUGUGAUCUAUGGAACAAGAGUUAAAUUAAGGAAAAGGAUUCUUCCUCUUCAGAAUUUAGAAGAACAACAAAAUUGUUUCAUGGAGAGAAACUUUACUUGAUCGAUCAUUGAAUUGGUAAUCUCUUCGUUGGUUUCCAUGGGAGAUAAAAGGUAUUAUCAGAAAUAUGCACUUAAGAUUUCUGUAUUGAAUUAGUUGUCAACAGACUCACCGUCGGGUAUUAGGUACCAAGGUCCUGGUUUCUUUGACAGAAACCACAACGAUCACCAGUUACAGGUGAGGACAA